GAUGAACGCUAGCGAUAGGCUUAACACAUGCAAGUCGAGGGGCAGCGAGGGUAGCAAUACCUGUCGGCGACCGGCGCACGGGUGAGUAACGCGUAUGUAACCUGCCCGCAACAGGGGGAUAACCCGGCGAAAGUCGGACUAAUACCGCAUAAAACAGGGGUCCCGCAUGGGAAUAUUUGUUAAAGAUUUAUCGGUUGCGGAUGGGCAUGCGUACCAUUAGGUAGUUGGUGAGGUAACGGCUCACCAAGCCUUCGAUGGUUAGGGGUUCUGAGAGGAAGGUCCCCCACACUGGUACUGAGACACGGACCAGACUCCUACGGGAGGCAGCAGUGAGGAAUAUUGAUCAAUGGGCGAGAGCCUGAACCAGCCAAGUCGCGUGAAGGAUGACUGCCCUAUGGGUUGUAAACUUCUUUUACAAGGGAAUAAAAUGAGAUACGUGUAUUUUAUUGCAUGUACCUUGGGAAUAAGCAUCGGCUAACUCCGUG
rnacentral:rRNA from 1 species